UAAUAAGUGUUUUCUGGGCACUUUUUAAAAUACCAUACCCACCUUGUGUGCAAUGUUAAGAGGAGAGCGAGUGAAAGGCUUUCGAGCUCUAGCAAAACUCUUCUCUAAUAUCAACCUUUAUUAUUUCAACCUAUUUGUCUUAAAAAUAUUAUGAAUACUUAAUUCAAAAUA
rnacentral:misc_RNA from 1 species